UACGAAGGGGGCUAGCGUUGUUCGGAAUUACUGGGCGUAAAGGGCGCGUAGGCGGUGUGUCAAGUCAGGCGUGAAAGCCCCGGGCUCAACCUGGGAACCGCGCUUGAGACUGGCACGCUCGAGUUCGGGAGAGGAUGGUGGAAUUCCCAGUGUAGAGGUGAAAUUCGUAGAUAUUGGGAAGAACACCGAUGGCGAAGGCAGCCAUCUGGACCGACACUGACGCUGAGGCGCGGAAAGCGUGGG
rnacentral:rRNA from 1 species